rnacentral:lncRNA from 1 species
GUUCCAGCCACCGUGUCAACAUGCCUUGGUCCAUAGCUCUGGAAGGCACACACCAAGCAGGACCAGUGAACAGAAGAUGAGAAGGGAAGAGAUUAGGACACAAACAACAGACAGAAGGUGACCACAGGAGGACACAGUGAGAAGCUGGCCAUCUGCAAGCCAAGGAGAGAGACCUCAGGAGAAACCAAACCUGCCAGCACCUUAAUCUUAGACUUCUAGCCCUCAGAACGGUGAGGAAAUAAAUCUCUGUUGUUCAUGCCACCCAGUCUGUGGUGUUUUGUUAUGGCCACUCU